UCCGGUUUGGCACCGGCGGUCUCCCUAGAGUCCCCGGCAUGACCCGCUGGCAACUAGGAACAGGGGUUGCGCUCGUUGCGCCACUUAAGGCAACAUCUCACGACACGAGCUGACGACAGCCAUGCACCACCUGUCGCCCAGUCCGAAGAGGCCCCCAUCUCUGAGGGUUUCCGGUAUAUGUCAAACCCAGGUAAGGUUCUUCGCGUUGCAUCGAAUUAAUCCACAUGCUCCGCCGCUUGUGCGGGGACCCGUCAAUUCCUUUGAGUUUUAGCCUUGCGGCCGUACUCCCCAGGCGGGAUACUUAAUGCGUUAGCUUCGGCACGGCAGUCGUUGGUACAACCGCCACACCUAGUAUCCAACGUUUACAGCGUGGACUAC
rnacentral:misc_RNA from 1 species